AUUGAACGCUGGCGGCAUGCCUUACACAUGCAAGUCGAACGGGCUUUGGGGCUUGCCCCAAAGUUAGUGGCGAACGGGUGAGUAAUAUAUCGGAACGUACCCUUGAGUGGGGGAUAACUAAUCGAAAGGUUAGCUAAUACCGCAUACGAUCUACGGAUGAAAGUGGGGGACCGCAAGGCCUCAUGCUCGUGGAGCGGCCGAUAUCUGAUUAGCUAGUUGGUGGGGUAAAGGCCCACCAAGGCGACGAUCAGUAGCUGGUCUGAGAGGACGAUCAGCCACACUGGGACUGAGACACGGCCCAGACUCCUACGGGAGGCAGCAGUGGGGAAUUUUGGACAAUGGGCGAAAGCCUGAUCCAGCAAUGCCGCGUGAGUGAAGAAGGCCUUCGGGUUGUAAAGCUCUUUUGUCAGGGAAGAAACGGUGGGGGCUAAUAUCCUCUGCUAAUGACGGUACCUGAAGAAUAAGCACCGGCUAACUACGUGCCAGCAGCCGCGGUAA
rnacentral:rRNA from 1 species